UGGGGAAUUUUGCACAAUGGAGGAAACUCUGAUGCAGCGACGCCGCGCGAGUGAUGAAGAUCUGCGGAUUGUAAAACUCUGUCCUUAGUGAAGAUAAUGACAGUAACUAAGAAGCAAGCCCUGGCUAAAUACGUGCCAGCAGCCGCGGUAAGACGUAUGGGGCAAGCGUUGUCCGGAAUUAUUGGGCGUAAAGGGUACGUAGGCGGUUUAAUAAGUCCUAAUUAAAAGGCUAUGGCUCAACCAUAGUAUGGUUAGGAAACUGUUGAACUUGAGUAGAUGAGGGGAAAGUGGAAUUCCAUGUGUAGCGGUGAAAUGCGUAGAUAUAUGGAGGAACACCAAUGGCGAAGGCAACUUUCUGGAAUCAAACUGACGCUGAGGUACGAAGGCGUGGGGAGCAAACAGG
rnacentral:rRNA from 1 species